UGGGGAAUCUUGCGCAAUGCGCGACAGCGUGACGCAGCAACGCCGCGUGGGGGAAGAAGGCUUUCGGGUCGUAAACCCCUUUCAGGAGGGACGAAGCUCCGGCCGCGAAUAGCGGUCCGGAGUGACGGUACUUCCACAAGAAGCCCCGGCUAACUACGUGCCAGCAGCCGCGGUAAUACGUAGGGGGCUAGCGUUGUCCGGAAUCAUUGGGCGUAAAGAGCGCGUAGGCGGCCAGAUAAGUCCGGUGUGAAAGUCACAGGCUCAACCUGUGAAUGCCGCUGGAAACUGUUUGGCUAGAGUCCGGUAGGGGCGAGUGGAAUUCCUGGUGUAGCGGUGAAAUGCGCAGAUAUCAGGGAGGAACACCAAUGGCGAAGGCAGCUCGCUGGAACGGUACUGACGCUGAGGCGCGAAAGCGUGGGGAGCGAACAGGAUUAGAUACCCUGGUAGUCCACGCCGUAAACGAUGGGUACUAGGUGUAGGAGGUGUCGAC
rnacentral:rRNA from 1 species